GAUGAACGCUGGCGGCGUGCUUAAUACAUGCAAGUCGAACGAACAGACCCUGCGUUUGCUGCUCUCUCGAUUGGCGAGCACGUGAGAAACACACGUGUAAACUCUCCUUGUCAUUGUGAUAUCUUCUCGAGACUCCGGCGCUUACCGCGUAUAAUCUCUUGCUCCGUGUGGUUGGUUAGUGAGUUUCGGCUGUUGUGGAUGGAUUCGCUGCUUAUCCGCUUGUUGGUGUAGUAGUGGCUUACCAGGGGUAUGACGGGUAGCCGGCCUGGGAGGGGGACCGGGCACAAUGGGACUGCGAUACGGACCAGAAGCCUACGGGAGGCAGCAGUGGGGAAUAUUGCAGAACGGGCGGAAGCCUGAUGCAGCGAUGCCGCGUGCGGGAUACCGGGUUUCGGGUUGUAAACCGAUUUCGCAGGUGCCGAAGCGUGAGUGACGGUAAUGAGUAAAGAAGCCACGGCUAACUACGUG
rnacentral:rRNA from 1 species